rnacentral:rRNA from 1 species
GGACUACUGGGGUAUCUAAUCCCGUUCGCUCCCCUAGCUUUCGCCCCCGAGCGUCAGGUGCCAGCCAGGACACUGCCUUCGCCUUCGGUGUUCCUCCGGAUAUCUACGCAUUUCACCACUCCACCCGGAAUUCCGUGUCCCUCUCUGACCCUCAAGUCGGCCCGUUUUUGAGACGCUCUCCCAGUGAAGCCGGGAGCUGUGACCUCAAACGCGACCGACCGCCUGCGGGCGCUUUACGCCCAGUAACUCCGGACAACGCUCGCCCCCUACGUAUUACCGCGGCGGCUGGCAC